ACAACAACGACCCCUCAUCUUUCAACUGCAGUGACAGUCAAGGAUGUGUACAUAAGAGCUUUUAUUGGAUUACGCUAUACAUGUAAUAUGGCAUUUGCAGCAGCCGAAGACAAAAGCACUGGAAUUACUUUAAGUGACAUUAGUCUCCACGAGCCACACAUAAAGAAGAAUGCAAGAGCUUCUGCGUCAUUUCCAGUUAUCAAGCCAAAUCUGAGUGCUCAGCCAUCACAGGUAUAUAAUCUCAUAAAGUAAAAAUUCAAACAUCUUUUAUUUUAAACAUUACCAAAAUACCUUGUAGUUAGUUUCAGCAUGUUUUUGAGGGUGGUGAAAUAAAUGUUUUGGGCAUGUUUUUCCUGACAGUAUGCUGUUAAAAUAAUCCACCAACUUGGGAAGG
rnacentral:lncRNA from 1 species